rnacentral:rRNA from 1 species
UACGUAGGGGGCAAGCGUUGUCCGGAAUCAUUGGGCGUAAAGAGCGUGUAGGCGGCCCGGUAAGUCCGCUGUGAAAGUCCAGGGCUCAACCCUGGGAUGCCGGUGGAUACUGUCGGGCUCGAGUCCGGAAGAGGAGUGUGGAAUUCCUGGUGUAGCGGUGAAAUGCGUAGAUAUCGGGAGGAACACCUGUGGCGAAAGCGGCUCACUGGACCACAACUGACGCUGAUGCGCGAAAGCUAGGGGAGCAAACAGG